UCGUUUUAGGUGAUUGAGUUU
rnacentral:siRNA from 1 species